rnacentral:rRNA from 1 species
UACGGAGGGGACUAGCGUUGUUCGGAAUUACUGGGCGUAAAGCGCACGUAGGCGGAUUUGUAAGUCAGGGGUGAAAUCUCGGGGCUCAACCUCGGAACUGCCUUUGAUACUGCAAAUCUCGAGUCCGGAAGAGGUGAGUGGAAUUCCUAGUGUAGAGGUGAAAUUCGUAGAUAUUAGGAAGAACACCAGUGGCGAAGGCGGCUCACUGGUCCGGUACUGACGCUGAGGUGCGAAAGCGUGGGGAGCAAACAGG